AUACGUAGGUGGCAGGCGUUGUCCGGAAUUAUUGGGCGUAAAGCGCAUGUAGGCGGUAAUUUAAGUCUGUCGUGAAACUGCGGGGCUCAGCCCCGUAUGGCGAUGGAAACUGGGUUACUUGAGUGCAGGAGAGGAAAGGGGAACUCCCAGUGUAGCGGUGAAAUGCGUAGAUAUUGGGAAGAACACCGGUGGCGAAGGCGCCUUUCUGGACUGUGGCUGACGCUGGGAUGCGAAAGCCAGGGUAGCGAACGGGAUUAGAUACCCCGGUAGUCCUGGCCGUAAACGAUGGGUACUAGGUGUGGGAGGUAUCGACCCCUUCCGUGCCGGAGUUAACGCAAUAAGUACCCCGCCUGGGGAGUACGGCCGCAAGGCUUAAACUCAAAGGAAUUGACGGGG
rnacentral:rRNA from 1 species